AACGCUGGCGGCGUGCCUWAUACAUGCAAGUCGAGCGGACAGAAGGGAGCUUGCUCCCGGAUGUUAGCGGCGGACGGGUGAGUAACACGUGGGUAACCUGCCUGUMAGACUGGGAUAACUCCGGGAAACCGGAGCUAAUACCGGAUAGUUCCUUGAACCGCAUGGUUCAAGGAUGAAAGACGGUUUCGGCUGUCACUUACAGAUGGACCCGCGGCGCAUUAGCUAGUUGGUGGGGUAAUGGCUCACCAAGGCGACGAUGCGUAGCCGACCUGAGAGGGUGAUCGGCCACACUGGGACUGAGACACGGCCCAGACUCCUACGGGAGGCAGCAGUAGGGAAUCUUCCGCAAUGGACGAAAGUCUGACGGAGCAACGCCGCGUGAGUGAUGAAGGUUUUCGGAUCGUAAAGCUCUGUUGUUAGGGAAGAACAAGUGCGAGAGUAACUGCUCGCACCUUGACGGUACCUAACC
rnacentral:rRNA from 1 species